GUGUAGAUUGAUGAGAGAAAAUGUUUUAAUUAAUACAUUUUAGAAUAAGGCUGUAACGUAACAAAAUAUGGUACAUGUCAAAAGGGUCUGAAUACUUGUCAGAAUGCCCCGUGUAUUCCUCUCCUAUGUACUGUUAUAUUAUAUAUAAUAUAUAUUCCUCUCCUAUGUACUGGAUGUGUCAAUAAGAUCACAAGGUGGGAAGGAGGGGAUAGAGAGAUGGAGGUGUGGAGGUGUGGUGUGAUUCAUGGAUGUGUCAAUAAGAUAACAAGGAGGGAAUAGAGAGAUGGAGGUGAUUCAUGGAUGUGUCAAUAAGAUAACAAGGAGGGGAUAGAGAGAUGGAGGUGAUUCAUGGAUGUGUCAAUAAGAUAACAAGGAGGGGAUAGAGAGAUGGAGGUGAUUCAUGGAUGUGUCAAUAAGAUAACAAGGAGGGGAUAGAGAGAUGGAGGUGAUUCAUGGAUGUGUCAAUAAGAUAACAAGGAGGGGAUAGAGAGAUGGAGGUGAUUCAUGGAUGUGUCAAUAAGAUAACAAGGAGGGAAUAGAGAGAUGGAGGUGAUUCAUGGAUGUGUCAAUAAGAUAACAAGGAGGGGAUAGAGAGAUGGAGGUGUGGAGGUGUGGUGUGAUUCAUGGAUGUGUCAAUAAGAUAACAAGGAGGGAAUAGAGAGAUGGAGGUGAUUCAUGGAUGUGUCAAUAAGAUAACAAGGAGGGAAUAGAGAGAUGGAGGUGAUUCAUGGAUGUGUCAAUAAGAUAACAAGGAGGG